rnacentral:rRNA from 1 species
AGUCGUACGAGAACACCCUAGCUUGCUAGGGUAAGUAAAGUGGCGCACGGGUGAGUAACGCGUGGGUAAUCUACCUUCGAAUUGGGGAUAACGUUGCGAAAGCGACGCUAAUACCGAAUAACAUCCAUUAAUCUUCGGGUUUUUGGAUCAAGGGUGGCCUCUACAUGUAAGCUACUGUUUGAAGAUGAGCCCGCGUACCAUUAGCUUGUUGGUGGGGUAAUGGCCUACCAAGGCAGCGAUGGUUAGCUGGUCUGAGAGGAUGAUCAGCCACACUGGAACUGACACACGGUCCAGACUCCUACGGGAGGCAGCAGUGAGGAAUUUUGCGCAAUGGGGGAAACCCUGACGCAGCAACGCCGCGUGAGUGAUGAAGGCUUUCGGGUCGUAAAGCUCUGUCAAGUGGGAAGAACCUGCAGUAUGCUAAUAUCAUAUUGCACUGACGGUACCACUGAAGGAAGCACCGGCUAACUCCGUGCCAGCAGCCGCGGUAAUACG